AAAGGGCAUCAGGUCAUAUGACCAAACCCUAAGUUCUAGCUCAACAAUUGUUAAGUGUAGUCCAUUUGUUCUUCAUUUGAGCUCAAUCCUUCAAAAUUAUGCACUCCAAAUGUUGAUCUGUUGCUGACCCGCAAGAAUUGAUGGGAUACUCUUCGAUUUCGCCCAGAUGCAAUCGUCAAUCCAUUCAUCUUCUUCAAGCUGAAUUAACCGGUAAAAGCACCUCGAUCUCACGGUACUAUGAAUCUUAAACAAACUGAGUAUCUCUCAAGGAUUAGAAGAAAUAAAUUCCUAGCAAUUGCAGAAAUUUCUAUCUAACAAACAAGCUUAAGCACCAAAUAAUCUUCAAGCGCUGCUGCUACUAGGGUAACUAUCCAGUAAGCCUUGUCAUAUAUUGAUAUCAAUCCAAUAGGAUGAGCUAAGUUGUGCUACGCUAAUACCACACAAUGGAUUGCUAUCCAUAUACAACAAAAUGCUUCCCAAAUAGUCCCUUGUUCAAUAUGGUUCCCUAUUCUGAAUAUUCAUGUUCCUUAGAUUAGGAAUUUAUGCCUUAUCUAGGUUCAGGAUUCUUCUACCUGCAGAGGGAAAAUCAAAGAAUGUAUUGAAUGAAACUUCAUCUGCAAAAUCAAAAGCAUAGUUA